rnacentral:rRNA from 1 species
AUUGAACGCUGGCGGCAGGCCUAACACAUGCAAGUCGAGCGGGGUUUUCGGACCUAGCGGCGGACGGGUGAGUAAUGCGUAGGAAGCUGCCCGAUAGAGGGGGAUACCAGUUGGAAACGACUGUUAAUACCGCAUAACGUCUACGGACCAAAGUGUGGGACCUUCGGGCCACAUGCUAUCGGAUGCGCCUACGUGGGAUUAGCUAGUUGGUGAGGUAAUGGCUCACCAAGGCGACGAUCUCUAGCUGGUUUGAGAGGAGGAUCAGCCACACUGGAACUGAGACACGGUCCAGACUCCUACGGGAGGCAGCAGUGGGGAAUAUUGGACAAUGGGCGCAAGCCUGAUCCAGCCAUGCCGCGUGUGUGAAGAAGGCCUUCGGGUUGUAAAGCACUUUAAGUUGGGAGGAAGGGCAGUAAGUUAAUACCUUGCUGUUUUGACGUUACCGACAGAAUAAGCACCGGCUAACUUCGUGCCAGCCGCCGCAGUAACAC